GACGUCCUUAUCGAGAGUAGUUUGAUGGGCCUAUGAUCGUAUAGUGAGUCCCGUCUUGCUAACAAAUCGAAUUCAACACUUAUGCCCCCGCUUCAUACUGGAGUGCGGGUAAUUUUUGCAACC